rnacentral:tRNA from 2 species
GGGGGAUUAGCUCAGCUGGCUAGAGCGUUUGCAUGGCAUGCAAGAGGUCAUCGGUUCGAGCCCGAUAUUCUCCA